rnacentral:rRNA from 1 species
GUAGGGAAUAUUGCACAAUGGAGGAAACUCUGAUGCAGCGACGCCGCGUGAGUGAUGAAGGCCUUCGGGUCGUAAAACUCUGUGAUAAGGGAAGAUGAUGACGGUACCUUAUCAGAAAAGACCGGCUAACUUCGUGCCAGCAGCCGCGGUAAUACGAGGGGUCUAAGCGUUGUUCGGAAUCACUGGUCGUAAAGCGGGUGUAGGUGGCUAUGCAAGUUGGAUGUGAAAGCCCCGGGCUCAACCCGGGAAGUGCAUCCAAAACUACGUAGAUUGAGUGCGGGAGAGAAAGGCAGAAUUCCUGGUGUAGUGGUGAAAUACGUAGAUAUCAGGAGGAACUCCGGUGGCGAAGGCGGCCUUUUGGCCCAGCACUGACACUCAGACCCGAAAGCGUGGGUAGCAAACAGGAUUAGAAACCCUGGUAGUCC